GGAUUGUGGCUCAGUGGUAGAGUGUUUGCCUAGAAUGUGUGAGGCACUGAGUUUGAUCCUUAGCGCCA
rnacentral:tRNA from 1 species